GUCCACGCUGUAAACGAUGGAUGCUAGCCGUCAGCAAGCAUGCUUGUUGGUGGCGCAGCUAACGCAUUAAGCAUCCCGCCUGGGGAGUACGGCCGCAAGGUUAAAACUCAAAGGAAUUGACGGGGGCCCCGCACAAGCGGUGGAGCAUGUGGUUUAAUUCGACGCAACGCGAAGAACCUUACCAGCCCUUGACAUGUCCGGACGGUUUCCAGAGAUGGACUCCUCCUAGCAAUAGGUCGGAACACAGGUGCUGCAUGGCUGUCGU
rnacentral:rRNA from 1 species